UAAAAAUAGGUGAUUUUAAUAUUUUUUUGAUGAAAAUUAUAAUUAAUAUGUAUAAUAAAAAAAUAUAAAUUGGAUAUAAAAUAUUAAGAUUGUUUUUUAUAUCCUAGCACAACCUAAGUGGGUUAUUUUAUGAGGAGGGGUUCCAAUAAUUGGUAUUCCUCUCCGUACAUCGAUGUGUGUUAGAUAGCAUAGUGGUUAUAUAAUAGGAAAGUAGAAGAAUAAGAAAAAGUAGAGUAUUGGUUUUCUUUAUUUAUAGUACACUCACUACCCAAUAUAGUAAGCCCACUGAAGCAUUAGUGUGGGUUUUAGAUUUUUAGUAUUUAUCUUCUCAAGCACCAACUCAUUCUCCCACAUUUUUUUAAAUGCAAGUGCUCAUCCACAACUCUAUUUUCUCUUUACACUUCCCUCUUUUGUCUCGAACACUGCUUUAACCUACCACCUUUAAUUAUUCUAACAAUUUUUUUCACCUCUUUUUCAAACCCUCUUUCCCAUCUUUAAUCUUUAAUUAUCCUUCCCUGUCGGUUCUGAGACGUUUGAAUGGAAUUUCUGAGAGAAUUGUUUAAAGCAGAACAACAAUAAGUGUGCUUAAUAGAAUACAUUUUUAUAGAUGGAGAUGUGAUUUCCUUCUUUUUUUUAAUGCCUAGGCUUAUCUGUUUUCUUUUGUCGGUUUCCAUGCUUAGAAGUUGGACUUGAAGGUAAUCCUUCCACGUAUCUGAGCAUUUGGAGUGCUUAUAUACAUGCUUGAAUGUUUGCAAUAUCUGAAACCACCAAUGUCCUUCAUUCCAAUUGCUAUCUAAGCCAAGUAAUGGAGAAAGAAGAAAGUGAAGAGGAAGAUGAAAGCGACGUUGGGCUCUUGAGUAUUAUGCUACUCUCCUUCUGAAGAGAGGAGUACAAUCAAAAAGGCAAUUCAUAAAGGCUUAGGGAAGGCAAAGCCUUUCUUCCAGGUUCAAUUCACAAAGCUGCACCUGCGCUGCUUAUUCAGCUUCAAUAAGGUUUUAAAAAACAGUCUGCAGCCACGAUUUCGACCGUAACAUGAUCACAAUUGUUGUCACAUCGUUCAUAUUUGCCUACAGUAGCACAUCAUUUGAUGAAAUUGUGCACAACUGCAAUUUAAAACCUUGUAGCUAUCUAAGAGACACAGACUGCAGUUUCAUCAUAUUUAUGUUUAGCUCAUUUACUGUGUUUUCUUUAAUCAGUUUGAAAGUUUUUAACGGUGGACUCAGGUAGUGAGGUUAGUGAGUGAUUUGAGAUAUAUCCGUAUAGGAAAUGUAAUAUUUUCCUUUGUUUUGUUGGAAGCCAUGAAUAAAGUGAAGUGUUUGCUGCAAUCAUGAAAGAAAAAUUGGUAUUGUCAACAUUUACUUUCCUUCUAGUAUAUAGAUUUUGUCAAAGAAAACUCGGCCAAACAUUGCUGAAAAAGGUUAUUGGAUUUUUAUUCUGUGAUAAAAACAACUCAUAUUCCCUUGCCCGAUGCGUCACAUUCUAUAUAAAAGGGUUGGUUGAAAUUUGGCAUCGUUAACAUGGGUGCAGUGGUGAUAGCGUUCUUAAGCUAUUGCAUCGCCUUGAGGCCUAAAAAUCCCCUCAAAGUUUUUAAAGAUUUGGGUAUUGGUUACUUCAUGAUGAUAAAAAUCUUUUUGAGGAUACAUCUAAACUCUCUUCCCCGAAAUCACAUGACCCAAAAUACUACACUUCUUGUUUCCAAAUUCACGUUUCUUUUUAUUUGCCUAAAACUUGUGUCGUUGGAGAGUCUUUAAAACCUAUUUCAACUAUAUUAGGUGCUAUUCCCAUGUUUCUUUGUAUAUCAGAAUGUCAUUGAAGAAAACUAAUACAAAUCUCCUGAAUUAAGAUUGUAAAAUAGUAUUCAUGGUGCUUUGAAAUGUAAUCGGUGCGUUAGUCAGUCCAACUAAUGACUCAUAGUGUCCAUGAUGCAUGCUACCCCUAAAAUAAAAUGUAACCCUUCUAACUGAAACAAUAAGAAAGUCUCUUUAAUUAUAUAUUGUUCUAGCUUCACCUCCACAUCCAUGCAACACCCACUUGUUCCUUUUCGAUGCCCAUCUCCUAACCUUACGUUAUAAGAAGGGUUGAUUCCAGUUGCAACCCAAGUUAAUCAAAUGAAAUAAAAAAUGGCUAACUCCACUGUCAAUCAAAAGCAACAUUGGUUUUCCUUUCAAUCCCUCUUUAACUUCAUUGUAUUGGUUACGUAAGUCCUCUAGCUGAAAAAACUGAGAAGCCCAUCUGUUGACACUUCCUAUGCUCAUAUUCUUCUUUCAGAAAUGAAAAAUCAUUUCCCCGGGUUCUCCUAUACCAUCAUCUUUGGCAAGAAUUACAAGUCGCAGAUUCUUAUGAAGACACUCAUGCCCAAGACUAUAAGCCCUUCCGCAGUGAAGAUAUCUCCCUUCCACUCUCCUUCUAACAUAUUCUGGAUAAGGAAGGGUUCAGGAUCUCCUGUUUCUUCAUCCCUCAACCGAGAUCUCUGUUGAACGGACAUCUCUUGUGUUGGAAGACUCAUUUCUUCCAUU
rnacentral:lncRNA from 1 species